UACGGAGGGUGCAAGCGUUAAUCGGAAUUACUGGGCGUAAAGCGUGCGCAGGCGGUUUGUUAAGUCUGUUGUGAAAUCCCCGAGCUCAACUUGGGAAUUGCAAUGGAUACUGGCAGGCUGGAGUAUGGUAGAGGAAGGUGGAAUUCCCGGUGUAGCAGUGAAAUGCGUAGAGAUGUGGAGGAAUACCGAUGGCGAAGGCAGCCCCCUGGGAUGAUACUGACGCUCAUGCACGAAAGCGUGGGGAGCAAACAGG
rnacentral:rRNA from 1 species